CGUUCCCUGAAAGUACCUUAUCUUGCUCCUGCCCUUCUGCAAUAAUAUAAAAACGAAAUAGAGUGUCUUCCAGUGUAGAGCCUCUUGUAGAAUGUUAACAUUUUAAGGUAGUUCCUAGAACAUGUUUCAGUAUUCAGGUUGCAAAAGAAAUUUUAGGAGCAUCUGUCAAUAUUUUCAAUUGUAUAACUGUGUCGAAAUGUAUGUACGUGUCAUUCAACAGUAUUGAGUUUGUAAAUAUUUCAAGAGAGAUGCUCUUUUCAAUUUAUUAAAUGCCACGUCAGUAAAGUGGCAAUCUAUGGGAUCAAAUUGAGGCAAAUGCUCUGAAUACUUAAACGUUACUUCCAAUUGGUCAGAGAAAUGCCGUUCUGCAUGGUACAGUUUUAAUGUUGAAACUGAUAAGGCCUACAGAUGCACUAUUGGUUAUUUAUACUAAACACAAGCCUUAGAACAAAAUGAAUAGCACUGAAUGUAAACAAAAUUUGAAAGAGGUUUUGUUUUAAUGACUAAGUGCUGGCACAGAAUACAUUGACUUGUUUACUAACAGAGUUUGUAACCUUCGAGUUUUGUAUUGUCAUCACAGAUGAUAAGAGCUAAUAAAGUUAUUGCCAAUAACAAUGAACAUGAAGGAGUUAAAAGUCUGUCUUGUAUCAAUUGGCCAAAAUUGAAAACUAUAAUUGGUUAAUGUGAGAACAAGGGGACAUAAGUUGCUGUAUCCACUGUGACAACAUAAUCUGGAUCUUAGUGAAACAAACUCAAAUGAAUACAGAUAAUAUUUAGUUAUAUUUAUUAGCUAUUCUAGUUCCCCUCAACAAUGUAAAAUUGCCUUUGGCUAUGAGUUUUAGCAUUAUUGCAGCAAGAGAGAAUGAAUGUAAGGUAUUUCAGUGUGUACAAAUAUGUUGAUGAAUUUUCAUUUUCAACAAGCAGGACUUUCUGGUUGUAGUGUUGCUUGCUGUAGGCAUACAAUUUUAAAUGUAUUGGACCUAAUUAUUGUUUCUAUUGUAAACAUGACUAGUGUUAGUGUUCAUAUAAAAACAGUAGCACAUAUUAUGUAGCUCUACUUGCUGAAGAGUUACUCAGGUCAGAAUAUUACAACCUAUUUGUAGCCCACCUUAUUGGUGAAAUUACUGUAGAUGUGAAGUUUCAUUUAAGUUGUCAUUUGGAACAGAAGCGCACAAUAAAGUUUUUUGAGACCAGCAGAACUGCUUUUCACCCAUGUAUGUAUGUAGGUAGGUAGUUCUAACAAUUUUUCGUCCAGUGAGUCUUCCACCUAGCCUAUGGUUUCAACACUAUGUAGCAGUGACAGACUGCAGGUAGAUAAUAGACGACCGCCAAGUGACCAUCGGAAUACAUCGAUGUUUCUUAACCUAUCUGUUUCUGUAAGUUGAUCAUAAAAUUAACCUUUAAGUAAUAUUACGCAUGUUGAGUAAUAAAAAUAAUCAAGUAUAUAGCUGCACAUUAAAUAGUGUUCCAUGGAACUGAAGUGCCAAAUAAUUAAAGAAGUAAAACAAAGACCACUGAAUAAGACAGGACACAAUGUUUCUUGUAACAGGUGUAGUGCAUUGUUACUAAAGACAUUUUCAGAGAAAAUAUAUAUAAUGUAUGGUCACAAAUUAUAAUGCAGUGUUUGUUAAUGUUGUAACGUGCCUACGAAACGUUUAUGGUUGAAAUUUACUGUUUUUUUCUGUAAAAGAUAGAUGAAUUAAAAAAAAAUGCUAAUCUU